rnacentral:rRNA from 1 species
AGAGUUUGAUCAUGGCUCAGGAUGAACGCUAGCGGCAGGCCUAAUACAUGCAAGUCGAGGGGGCAGCAAUGUCACCGGCGCACGGGUGCGUAACGCGUAUGCAACCUACCUUUUACUGGAGGACAGCCUGGGGAAACCCAGAUUAAUACUCCAUGGUCUCAUCGUGCGGCAUCGCAUGGUGGGUAAAGGUUACGGUAAAAGAGGGGCAUGCGUCCGAUUAGCUAGUUGGCGGGGUAACGGCCCACCAAGGCUACGAUCGGUAGGGGGUCUUAGAGGACUAUCCCCCACACUGGCACUGAGAUACGGGCCAGACUCCUACGGGAGGCAGCAGUAGGGAAUAUUGGGCAAUGGUGGAGACACUGACCCAGCCAUGCCGCGUGUAGGAAGAAUGCCCUCUGGGUUGUAAACUACUUUAGACAGGGAAGAAUAGCUAAGAUGCGUCUUAGUGUGACGGUACCUGUAGAAUAAGCACCGGCUAACUACGUGCCAGCCGCCGCGGUAAUUC